CGGGUAGGCGGUCAUGCAAGUCGAAUGUGAAAGCCCAGGGCUCAACCCUGGAAGUGCAUCCGAAACUGCGUGACUUGAGUACCGGAGAGGGUGGUGGAAUUCCUGGUGUAGAGGUGAAAUUCGUAGAUAUCAGGAGGAACACCCGAGGCGAAGGCGACCACCUGGACGGAUACUGACGCUGAGCCGCGAAAGCGUGGGGAGCAAACA
rnacentral:rRNA from 1 species